rnacentral:piRNA from 1 species
UAGUUUUAUGCUCUGUGCAUUCAUGGGAC